rnacentral:rRNA from 1 species
GACAGAGGGUGCAAACGUUGCUCGGAAUUACUGGGCGUAAAGGGCUCGUAGGCGGCCAACUAAGUCAGACGUGAAAUCCCUCGGCUUAACCGGGGAACUGCGUCUGAUACUGGAUGGCUUGAGUUUGGGAGAGGGAUGCGGAAUUCCAGGUGUAGCGGUGAAAUGCGUAGAUAUCUGGAGGAACACCGGUGGCGAAGGCGGCAUCCUGGACCAACACUGACGCUGAGUGAGCGAAAGCCAGGGGAGCAAACGGG